rnacentral:rRNA from 1 species
CCCUUAGAUGUUCUGGGCCGCACGCGCGCUACACUGACGAUGGCAACGAGUUUUUCCUUCGCCGAAAGGUGUGUGUAAUCUUUUGAAACAUCGUCGUGCUGGGGAUAGAUCAUUGCAAUUUUUGAUCUUGAACGAGGAAUUCCUAGUAAGCGCGAGUCAUCAGCUCGCGUUGAUUACGUCCCUGCCCUUUGUACACACCGCCCGUCGCUACUACCGAUUGAAUGGUUUAGUGAGGACUCCUGAUUGGCGCCGCCGCCCCGGCAACGGAGCAGCGGACUGCCGAAAAGUUGUUCAAACUUGAUCAUUUAGAGGAAGUAAAAGUCGUAACA